UACGGAGGGUGCGAGCGUUGUCCGGAAUCAUUGGGCGUAAAGGGCGCGUAGGUGGCCCGGUCAGUCUUUGGUGAAAGCGCGGGGCUCAACCCUGCGUCGGCCAGGGAUACUGCCGCGGCUCGAGCACUGUAGAGGCAGGCGGAAUUCCGGGUGUAGCGGUGGAAUGCGUAGAGAUCCGGAAGAACACCGGUGGCGAAGGCGGCCUGCUGGGCAGUUAGCUGACACUGAGGCGCGACAGCGUGGGGAGCAAACA
rnacentral:rRNA from 1 species